rnacentral:misc_RNA from 1 species
GUAUUUUGAAUUGUUUUAUUCAUAAUAUUUUUCAGACAAAGAGUUGAGAUAUAGGUUGAUAUUUGUGAAGGGAAAGAGUUGCCUCUCUCCCAACAAACAUUGCACACAAGGUGGAUAUGGAUUUUUAAAGAGUGCCAUAAAACACUCAUUGUGAAUGAUCCUUCCGCAGGUUCACCUACGGAAA